GGGCAUGUGGCGGAAUGGUAUACGCUCACGACUUAAAAUCGUGUCUCUAACGAGGUGUGGGUUCGACUCCCACCAUGCCCACCC
rnacentral:tRNA from 1 species